AGAGUUUGAUCAUGGCUCAGGACAAACGCUGGCGGCGUGCCUAAUACAUGCAAGUCGAACGGUCCUCCUACGGGGGGAUAGUGGCGGACGGGUGAGUAACACGUAGAUGACCUGCCCUGUAGUGGGGAAUAACAACUCGAAAGAGUUGCUAAUACCGCAUGUGUUCUCUCUUGUUGGAGGGAGAAGAAAUCUCUUUGGUGAUACAAAGGGAGCUAGAGGAGGGGUCUGCGGCGGAUUAGCUAGUUGGUGGGGUAACGGCUCACCAAGGCAGCGAUCCGUAGCUGGUCUGAGAGGACGGCCAGCCACACUGGGACUGAGACACGGCCCAGACUCCUACGGGAGGCAGCAGUAAGGAAUAUUCCGCAAUGGGCGCAAGCCUGACGGAGCGACGCCGCGUGAAGGAGGAAGCCCUUCGGGGUGUAAACUUCUUUUGUUGGGGAUGACACAUCUUCCCAGGGGGCCUCGCAAGAGACCCUCGGAGGGAAGGUUAGGACAGUACCCGACGAAUAAGCCUCGGCUAACUACGUGCCAGCAGCCGCGGUAAUACGUAGGAGGCGAGCGUUGUCCGGAUUUACUGGGCGUAAAGGGCGCGCAGGCGGCCCACCAAGUACGAUGUGAAAUCUCCCUGCUCAACGGGGAGGGUGCACUGUAAACUGGUGAGCUAGAGGACGGUAGAGGGGGGUGGAAUUGCUGGUGUAGCGGUGAAAUGCGUAGAGAUCAGCAGGAACACCCGUGGCGAAGGCGGCCCCCUGGGCCGUACCUGACGCUGAGGCGCGAAGGCUAGGGGAGCGAACGGGAUUAGAUACCCCGGUAGUCC
rnacentral:rRNA from 1 species